rnacentral:misc_RNA from 1 species
ACACCUCAACUCUUCAUGGUUUUCCAUGAUGAGAUUGGACUUUGGGGGUUUUGUUGGCCUACGGUCGGCUCCUCUGAAAUGAAUCAGCUUGCCAGUGUUUGGUGGGCAUCACAGGUGUGAUAAUUAUCUACGCUUGUGGUGUUCCACCAGGUAACCUUCAGCAGUGGAGGUUUGCUGGAGCUCACAGAUGUCUCUCCUCGGUGAGGACAGCUUUUGAAC